rnacentral:rRNA from 1 species
UAGGUGAACCUGCGGAAGGACAUUAGUGAAUAUAGGACGUCCAACUUAACUUGGAGUCCGAACUCUCACUUUCUAACCCUGUGCAUUUGUUUGGGAUAGUAACUCUCGCAAGAGGGCGAACUCCUAUUCACUUAUAAACACAAAGUCUAUGAAUGUAUUAAAUUUUAUAACAAAAUAAAACUUUCAACAACGGAUCUCUUGGCUCUCGCAUCGAUGAAGAACGCAGCGAAAUGCGAUAAGUAAUGUGAAUUGCAGAAUUCAGUGAAUCAUCGAAUCUUUGAACGCACCUUGCGCUCCAUGGUAUUCCGUGGAGCAUGCCUGUUUGAGUGUCAUGAAUACUUCAACCCUCCUCUUUCUUAAUGAUUGAAGAGGUGUUUGGUUUCUGAGCGCUGCUGGCCUUUAGGGUCUAGCUCGUUCGUAAUGCAUUAGCAUCCGCAAUCGAACUUCGGAUUGACUUGGCGUAAUAGACUAUUCGCUGAGGAAUUCUAGUCUUCGGACUAGAGCCGGGUUGGGUUAAAGGAAGCUUCUAAUCAGAAUGUCUACAUUUUAAGAUUAGAUCUCAAAUCAGGUAGGAC